GAUUACCAGAAUAGUUAAUGCAAAAGGAACGAGUGCAAGGCGUGGGUUGGUGAGAGGGUGGGUUAGGAUAUUAUGGCCUUACCUUAGUUGUGUACCAAGACACUUCAAUUUUUUCAGGUAAUCAGGUUAUCAAAGGUAAGAAGAACAACUCCACUUGGUACUGGCUUUUGAUUUAUAUAUUUAGGAAAUUUGAAAAUUGAUACUACACCCUGUUCUUUUCAAUGUUCAAUGAUUUCAUCGUCUGGUAUUUCAUUAAGACAUGGUGCGUAAAUUGUUCCUUUCGUGUAGUUGUGGAGUUUUAUUUCUACAUUGCAUAUGCAAUGUAAUUUUUUUGUUUUUAUGAAUUUUUGGGCUAUGUUGUUGUUUUUUACAAUCGUUAAUGGGAAUUCCGUGGGUUUUUUUUUUCGAUGUAGGGCUUGUUGAUAUCAGGGUGAACCUGUUAUCACCAAGAGAGUGUCCCCCAGGGGGCAUAUCUCUUAAAGUUCCCUGUACUAUAAUACAAACACUCUUUAACACGUGCUUUAAUAAGUCCUUGAAGUUAGAACGCACUCACGAAAAAGAAAGUGUGGGAAUAUCACCAAUAGCACAAAACACAACAAUUCGCUUUGAGUAUCAGUCGAUGAUUGAGCAUUGUAUAUACAAUAUAAUAGGAGUUAGUUGCAUUAUGCUGAGCUGUGAAGUGACAACACACAUGGCGUGAUGCGGUUUGGCGACCACUGGCAGGGUUCCAAGCUGCGCAGCAAAGCUGACACUAUUAUUGGUGGAAUUGGUGGCAGUAUGCAUACAUACAUAGCUACAACACUAUUGGCCGUAGUUGAUUGCAACAUCUGUUUACCGUUCCACAACGUAAAUAUGCACGUCAAAUUGUAUACGUAUAUGGAGUAAGUAGCAUAUAGAGGGACUGGGUGAAUGCGGAGUGGCUGUACUAUUACCGAGUUGAACGAUAUGAAAUUUGUUUGCGGAUAAUUACUCCUACGAAAAUGUGUAUUCGUGUGGUUCGUUGUGUGCUUCCAUGGGGUAUACUGAAUGUAACCGCGAUGAACCUAUGCAAACGGACGCACAAUUUAAGUGAGAACUUGACGUAAAGUUGCCGGUAUACCAUAUUUAGGGAUGCCACGUCGGCGUUAACGCUGAGCGGUUGUGAUAUUUAGCACAAAAAAAACCAAAUGCGCUUGCAAUAGCCAAGUAAAUGUGAGUCAAUGUCAGCCAGCAUGAAUGAACGACGAUUAUUCUGUUACUUUCGAGCGAGUUUGUUGUAAAAGAUGUUUUUAUGAAAUGGUUUUGAUUUGAUGGUUUGGAAUUAAAUAAGGUAAGCCAGUGGAAUCGGGGUUUAAGGCUUGGUGCAUUUUUGCUUAUUGUACUCACCGGGCAAAAAGCACUUGGAUAUCGGCUUGAUCGCUUCUCACUUCUCUAAAAGUCAAUUUGGAACUGUGAGCCCACACACUAAGAGCUUCUGUAAGUACUCUGCGAACCUGUGGGGCAUUCUCCAUUGUCCAAUUCACCAAACUGUAAAGAAAGUAAAAAAUUAAUAAAUAAAAGUAUUAAUAAAAAAGUAAAUAAAACAAA